rnacentral:rRNA from 1 species
CGUAGGGACCAAGCGUUGUUCGGAUUUACUGGGCGUAAAGGGCGCGUAGGCGGCGCGGUAAGUCACUUGUGAAAUCUCUGAGCUUAACUCAGAACGGCCAAGUGAUACUGCAGUGCUAGAGUGUGGAAGGGGCAAUCGGAAUUCUUGGUGUAGCGGUGAAAUGCGUAGAUAUCAAGAGGAACACCUGAGGUGAAGACGGGCUGCUGGGCCAACACUGACGCUGAUGCGCGAAAGCCAGGGGAGCAAACGGGAUUAGAUACCCCGGUAGUCCUGGCCCUAAACGAUGAAUACUUGGUGUCUGGAGUUUUAAUGCUCCGGGUGCCGUCGCUAACGUUUUUAGUAUUCCGCCUGGGGAGUACGCUCGCAAGAGUG